UCUAAUUAUCUGGACCAUCAUCAACUGGCACACUUGUUGCCGCCAUCCAAGGUCCAAAACGGCGUCGACAUUCGUAGUGAGAUGGAAGAACCUGGUUCAGUGGAUAUGGCCUAAACGAGAGGACACGAGGCUCUCCCUUGCAUCUCUUGUGUGUUCUGCCAUGAGACCUAUUAGGGGGAAAAUGAGUCGCUUCGGAACAUAUGACCGCGUGGCCAACACGUGCCUGAAGGUGCCCGACCCGACGUCCAACCUGAGGGCGCCCGGCCCGACGUCCGACCUGAAGGCGUCCGGCCCGGCGUCCGACCUGAAGGCAUCCAACCUAUCUACUGCGGUCACAUCCACCUAUAGUACAACCAGGAACCAUGCCCUGCCACCACCAUCAACAAUUAAUGCGCAUGGCUCCUGCAGACCUCCGGCUUACUCAACAAUUAAUGCGCAUGGCUCUUGCAGACCUCCGGCUUACUCAACAAUUAAUGCGCAUGGCUCCUGCAGACCUCCGGCUUACUCAACAAUUAAUACGCAUGGCUCCUGUAGAACUCCGGCUUACUCAACAAUUAAUGCGCAUGGCUCCUGUUAUCUACGGAUCUCAAGUCCUCCACGGCAAAUCAGCUCGGCUGCGUCCGAUCAGCCAUGACAACUCCCUAGCUCUGGCCUGGUCUCCUACGGCAAGGCAUUAACUCAUGCAAUCGUGCACUAAUUCAUACGACAUGCCUAAUUGUACGACAACUUCGCUUCGUCGCAUCACAGGUAACCCCGUAACCCUCUAUAAAAAGGGAACCCCUCCAUCUUAGAGAGGAGGAGCACGAAAAAAUGAAGAACUGGAGACAUUGAUUCCCCUGCAUUUUCUCUCUCUAUAUAUAUAUUUGCCCCCUCUGACUUAGGCAUUGGAGGGCCGGCACCGGAAACUCCGGCCACCAACUUUUUGCAGGCCCCACGGAGGACGCCGCCGCCGACAGACCACUACCCGCCGACCUUCGCCGAAGCUCCUCCUUCUCAGCUGACGGCCGCCCCCAGGUCUAAAUUCCAGCAACAGUUGGCGCUAGAGGAAGGGCCCGAGUCGUGGCCAUGAAGUUGAGAAGUAAAGGAGCCUCCAACGCCUCCCGGCGUCCCCCGCCAAGUUCUGGACACUCUGUCCAGAAUUCACCGCCAAGACCUCCGGUGGACCCAGCCCCCCAGGUCCAGCGGGAACAAUUUAGCAUCCUGGUGCAGCAAGUUCAAGCCUUGGCUACAGUGGUCCAAGGCUUGCAACGUAUGGAGCCCCUGCCGCUUCCGCAAGAACAGGUUCCCCCGAUACUUCCUUCAGACGGAUCGGCGCCCCAGGGCCAAAACCUCCACGGCUCUUCUAAGGCUGAGGAGCGGUGCUGCCGCCAAGGUUCAGCUCGGGCAUCUCCCUGGAGAGAGUUGCCAGGGAGGGGCCUAGGCAAUGGGCCGCAGCCAUCGGAAGCCGAAUCGGUCCCGGGACGGCUAGCACCAGAGCAGACCACCGUGGCGAUCCCCCAGAGCGGAGAACUCGACAAGAAGGUCGAGGAGCUUGAGCGCCGGAUUGAGGCGCUCCAUAGCAAGAAGGCGAGGCGCAAAGGUGACUUCGAGUUCACCACUAAGUCCCUCUUCUUCCGCCAAAUCGAGGAUGAGCCAGUCCCAUCAAGGUUCAAAAUGCUCCAGGUGGAGCCCUAUAAUGGCACGACUAACCCCCUCGACCAUCUGGAGAGUUACCAAGCCCUCAUGGCGUUACAGGGGUCCUCGGAGGCCAUGCUCUGCAUGGCCUUUUCGGCGACACUUCGGGGAGCAGCUCGACUCUGGUUCUCCGGGCUGAAGCCCAGUACUGUGUCUUCCUUUGAGUAGCUCGGCAGGCAGUUCGCCACCAACUUUGCUGCCAGCCGAUGUCAGCGGCGGACUUCGGACUCCCUCAACGUCAAACAAAGGGAGGGAGAGUCUUUCGAAGACUAUCUCGACCGUUUCACUGCCGCUACUUGGGAGGUCCGCGAGCUCGACUAGUCGAUAGCCAUGUCGGCACUUAAGACUGGAGCUCGGUCCUACAGGUUUCCCUUCUCCGUUGAGAAGAGCUUCCCUCCGAUUUCACCGAAAUGCUGGUCCGAGCUCGGAAAUACGUGAAGGCCGAGGAGGCCAUUGCUUCCAGGCGAGGUGCGACCGAGCAGACCUCCAAGAAGCAAAAGAGACGCCGCGAGGAGCGCGGUCGUCCUAAAAGUCUGUCACCCCAUCGAAACAAAAAUCUGCCGCGGCUAAGGAGUCCACCUCGGCAACGGGGACAGCGGAGACCAAGGUCCCCGCCCCGACCAAGAUCUCUAGCGCGGCCAUGAGUACCCUCAGGGAGGUAUGAGAAUUACACUCCCCUCAACGCCUCCCGAACAGAGAUCCUAAUGAAAAUCGAGGGCCGAGAUUAUUUUCGGCCUCCACCCUCGAUGCAGGAUCUCGGAGCUUACCGCAAUCCUAAGAAGUACUGCCGCUUCCACCGAGAUCAUGGCCAUGACACAGAGGAUUGCUUCCAGCUCCAUGACGGGAUCGAGGCGCUCAUCCGUCGCGGUGUGCUAAAUCGGUUUGUGCAGAACCGGCGUGAGGAAAGGAGGCCAGCAGAAAACACCGCGCAGCCCGAAGAUCCAAAUGUCAAUAGACCCAUCGCCGACACCAUCAACACCAUUGGAGGAACCUCGGUCGGAGGGCCAGCCGAGGAAAGGGUUCUCCUAAAGCGCCCGCGCACUUCUGAAGCCAUCUCGUUCUCGGAUGAGGGCUUGGAAGGGGUUGAAACCCCUCACGAUGACGUUGUGGUCAUCUCUAUGAUUGUAAAUAAGUUUGAUGUAAAGCGCGUAUUAGUAGAUAAUGGAAGCUCGACAAACAUUUUGUACUACGACGCCUAUCAAAAAAUGGGAAUGAUAGAAAACGUGCUUCGGAGAAUGAACGCUCCACUGGUCGGAUUUACCGAGGACUCGGUCCCAAUGGAGGGCGAGGUUGGCCUUCUAGUCACGGUCGGGCUCGCCCCCCGAGAAAGUACUGUAAGGAUGGAUUUUCUAGUGGUCCGUCUGCCUUCGGCCUACAACGCCAUCCUAGGACGACCAGGGCUGAACGCCCUCCGAGCUGUGGUCUCGACUUGUCACCUGCUCAUGCGGUUCCCCACCAGCCAAGGAGUGGGCGAAGUCCGUAGGGACCAGUCAGUAGCAAAAUGGUGCUAUAUGGCAACCCACAAAGCAAAGCAACCAGCUAAAACACCAAGCCAAGGAGAGCGGCCGGCCGAGGCAUUGACUCCAAUACCAGAUCGGACGCUCUCCAUUGAAACUCUGGAAGUACGGGACGACCCUCGAAAGAAACGGGUGGAGACUGGUGAGCUUCUUAUCCAAGUUUCCUUACAAGAAAACUGCCCAGAGCUAACCGUGCAUGUCGGCUCCGGCCUGCGUGCCCACGAGAAACACCGCCUGGUCGAGUUCCUGCGGGCCAACAUGGAUGUCUUCGCCUGGUCGCCCAUCGAUAUGCCAGGAAUAUAUCCCAAGGUCGUGGUUCACCGACUCCAGAUGAAACCGACCUGCAAGCCCGUGCGGCAGAAGAAGCGAGGCUCCGCCCCAGAACGAUAGCGAGCAGCGGCCGAGGAAGUAGACAAGCUUCUCAGGGCCGGCUUCAUCCGGGAGAUAUCUUAUCCAGACUGGCUCGCCAAUGUGGUCCUCGUCAAAAAAGCCAACGGAAAAUGGCGCAUGUGCGUGGACUAUACCGACAUGAAUAAAGCCUGCCCGAAGGACAGUUUUCCACUCCCCAGCAUCGACCAGCUCGUAGACUCCACCUCGGGGCACCAGCUGCUGACAUUCAUGGACGCCUUCUCGGAAUACAACCAAAUCCGAAUGGCGCCCGAAGAUGAAGAGAAGAUAGCCUUCAUCACCGACGAAGGGACUUAUUGCUACAAAGUGAUUGCUUUUGGCUUGAAAAAUGCUAGAGCAACUUAUCAAAGGCUGGUCAGCCAAAUCUUUAAAAACCAAAUAGGCCAAAAUAUGGAGGUUUAUGUGGACGACAUGCUGGUGAAGAGCCGAAUGGUGGAGGACCAUGUGGCUGACCUCAGCGAAACAUUCUCCACCCUCAGAAAGUACCAGAUGAAGCUCAACCCAACCAAGUGUGCAUUCGGGUUCACCUCGGGCAAGUUCCUUGGCUUCGUGAUCACCCAGCGUGGAAUCGAAGCAAAUCUCGAGAAAAUCUGAUCACUGCAGGAGAUGGUCCCACCGAGGACGGUUAAGGAGGUACAGCGACUCACAGGAUGAAUCGCGGCUCUAGGAAGGUUUGUUGCCAGAUCGGCCGAGCGGUGCCUCCCAUUUUUUGCAAUCCUCAAACAACCGAAGAACUUCUUGUGGUCAGAGGAGUGUCAGCAAGCUUUUGAAGAGCUCAGGCAUCUUCUUGCCUCCCCUCCACUACUCACAAAACCCCAGCAGGGCGAGCUUCUCUACUUGUAUCUGGCCGUCUCCCUGGUUGCAGUAAGCUCGGUCUUGGUCCGAAAAGAGGAUAAGCUUCAAAGGCCAGCGUAUUACACCAGCCGGAUCCUGAGAAAUGCUGAGAUCCGAUACUCCAAACUAGAGAAAACCAUCUUCGCCUGGUCAUCUCGGCUCGGAGACUACGGCCCUAUUUCCAAGCCCACACAGUGGCCAUACUGACCGACCAGCCCAUGAAGCAAAUCCUGCAGCGGUCGGAUCGUGCUGGAAGGAUCACAAAGUAGGCAGUCAAGCUCGGAAAGUUCGAUCUCGAAUACCAUCCGAGGCCAGCAAUCAAAGUCCAGGCGCUCGCUGACUUUAUUAUGGAAUGCACUGUGUCGGACGGGCCUGUACCCGCACCCAUUCCAGCGGAGACCUCGAAGCAGUCAUGGACUCUACACGUUGACGGCUCCUCGACCUCGGGGGGUAGUGGAGCAGGCCUCAUCCUCACCAGCCCGGACGGGGUGGUUGCAGAGCAAGCUUUACGCUUCGAGUUCCCCGCCUCAAACAAUGUGGCGAAAUACGAGGCACUCGUCGCCAGGCUCAAACUGGCUAAAGAGCUGAAGGUUGAAGACCUAAAGGUCUUCAGUGAUUUCCAACUGGUCGUGAGCCAAAUUCUGGGAGACUUCGAAGCUAGGGAGCCAUCGAUGCAGAAAUAUCUCCAGAAGGUGCGAGACCUCAUCUCUGCUCUGAGCUCCUUCAACAUCCAACAUAUUCCUAGGUCGGAGAACCUGAGGGCAGACCAACUGUCGAAACUGGCGACCUCCUGCAUGAGCGAACUUCCCAAAGCAACAAUGCUCGAGUAUCUCCAAACGCCCAGCACGGAAGAGCAUGAGCCGACCCUCUGCAUUGAAAUCGAGCCAAGCUGGAUGGACGAGCUCAUCAGUUAUCUGCAAGAUGAAGCCCUCCCUGACGAUAAGCUCGAGGCUCGCCGGAUCAGGCGUCAGGCCUCCCGAUACGUAUUGUAUGAAGGUAAGCUCUACCGGAGAUCCUUCACCUCUCUCCUCCUCAGAUGUCUCUGCCCGUUAAAGGCGGACUAUGCUAUGCGAGAGGUUCAUGAAGAAAUUUGCGGAAACCAUUUGGGAGGCCGAGCACUGGCCCACAAGAUCCUUCACCAGGGAUACUACUGGCCCACACUUCAGAAGGACGCAACGGACUUCGUCCGAAGGUGCGAUCGGUACCAGCGGAACGCCAACAUCUAGCGCCGACCUUCGGCCCCGCUUACCUCGAUCGGUGCCCCCUGGCCAUUCGCCCAGUGGAAAAUUGACAUCCUGGGGCCAUUUUUCCUAGCGACCGGGCAGAGAAAAUUCCUAAUCGUCUCUAUCGACUACUUUACCAAGUGGGUCGAGGCCGAGCCAGUGGCCCAGAUUAUUGAGCAAAGGAUGCGGGACUUUGUCUGGAAGUCAAUAAUUUGCAGAUUUGAACUCCCCUGCAUCCUCAUAUCUGACAACGGCCGCCAGUUCGACAACAUUCAUUUUAGAGAAUUUUGCUCCGAACUCAGCAUUGACCACCGCUUCACCUCGGUAGCCCAUCCACAGACAAAUGGAGAAACCAAGAUAACAAAUCGCACCAUUUUGCAGGGACUCAAGGCCAGGCUCGACCGAUCCAAGGGGCAGUGGGUCGAGGAUUUAUACAAUGUUCUCUGGGCCUACCGGACUACAUUUCGACUACCUACCGGCGAGACCCCCUUCAACCUGGCGUAUGGAACAGAGGCUGUUAUCCCUUUGGAGAUCGGACUCCCCUCACCAAGGGUGGAGUGCUACGAUGCUGACUCCAACUCCUCUCAGCUCAGAAAUAAUUUGGACCUCGUUGAAGAAGCGAGGGAGGCCGCCCGAGUCCGUAUGAUGAGAUACAAACGGAAGACGGCACAGUACUACAACGCCAAAGUCAAGGCCAAGUCUUUUAAAGUGGGAGACCUCGUCCUCAGAAGAGCUGAAGCUUCUCAGCCAACCGAGCAGAAAAACUGGCCCCGAAUUGGGAAGGACCUUACCGGAUCGUACGUGUCCAACGGCCCGGAGCAUACAAGUUGGAAUCCCUCGAAGGGACCCUUAUCCCGUGGAGCUGAAAUUCCGAAAACCUUCGAAUGUACUACUAAUAGAACCCUAAGGGGUCCUCGGUGAUUGGGGACAUGAGUCCCGUCUUCUUCUCAUGAUAAUCUGCAGUUCUUUAAUCAUUUUAUGUUUCUCUUGAUAUUGGGAUAUUUGUAAUCCUCAGAGUACCCGACCAAGCCCGGAUGCCCGACCAAGCUCGGAUGCUCUAGUCAAGACUGAAACGCCUCGGCGCGCCGAUAUCGAGCUCAGUCUCGAUCUCCUUCAAAUACCUCGACUAAGGUCGGGAUGCCUCGAGCGUCGAUAGUGCGUUCCCAGAUCCCUCGACCUCGAAAAGCAUCGCAGGUCGAUAGUGUGUUCCCAGAUCCCUCAACCUUGCGUACGAUCCCUCGACUAAGGUCGGGAUGACCCGAGCGUCGAUAGUGCAUUUCCAGACCCCUCGACCCCGGAAAGCGUCGCAGGUCGAUAGUGCGUUCUUAGACCCCUCGACCUUGCGCACGAUCCCUCGACUAAGGUCGGGAUGCCCCGAGUAUCGAUAGUGNNNNNNNNNNNNNNNNNACCUCGAAAAGCAUCGCAGGUCGAUAGUGUGUUCCCAGACCCCUCGACCUUGUGUACGGUCCCUCGACUAAGGUCGGGAUGCCCCGAGCGUCGAUAGUGCGUUUCCAGACCCCUCGAUCUCGGGAAACGUCGCAGGUCAAUAGUGCAUUCUCAGACCCCUCGACCUUGCGUACGAUCCCUCGACUAAGGUCGGGAUGCUCUGAGUGUCGAUAGUGCGUUCACAGACCCCUCGAUCUCGGAAAGCGUCGCAGGUCGAUAGUGCGUUCCCAGACUCCUUGACCCUGCACACGAUCCCUCGACUAAGAUCGGGUUGCCCCGUGCGUCGACAGUGCGUUCUCAGACCCCUCGACCUCGAAAAGCAACACCAAGUCGACAGCGAGCCCGGGCUCCCUCGACCUCGUGCUCGAUCCCUUGACUAGGGUCGAGAUGCCCCGUAAGUCGACAAUAAGCCCAAGCCCACUCGGCCUCGGGAAGACAUAUGGGGUAGAGCCUUUGUGGCCUCCCCCCCCCCCCGUAACCACUCGACAACGACAGAGGGAUGGCACCUACGUGGAUUCCCCGACGACAACACUCCAGCGAGAAGCAGACUACGAGCCGGAAAGCGCCCCUAAAAGCUAGCCGCAACGCAAAACGCCUGGCUCCAACAGUGCAAAAAUGAUCUCCAGUCCAGUCCACACAGAUCCCGCUGAAUGAGGACUCGGCCGAGCCCAACGACCUCGAGCCUUGAUAUACUAGCCGAGCUCGGAAGUACCGAAGCACUUGCCAAAAAUUCCGAUUCUGUUUGUUGGUACACCGACCAAGUUCGAGACCAACAGCCGCGAAACGCCCCAACGUUAGAUCGAUCUGCGAUCUCUUCGGAGACCGACCCUAAAGUUUUUAUGAGCUUAUACCUGGAAAGCCGGAUCUUCUGGAAGGCAGUCCUAAAAGACGAGCCCCUUUUGGGGCCCAGAGUCCGAACGCAGCACUUCGGCGAUUUGGGAGCCGAGCUCAAGGACUCUGGCAAAAUUUGAACUCGAGCUCAAGGGCUCGGCGAAACGUGAGUCCGAGCUCGAGGACUUCACGAAAUGUCCUAAAGUAUAUUGGACCUAAGCUUAACUGCCUAGCAAACGUGGUCGGAACCUAAGUCUAUGGAGCCCAAGUCUAUGGACUCAGUCGAGUCCAAAGACUCAGAGUGAUUUGCCAGAAAAAAUUCAGCCCAAAAGUUUAUAUGCUACGAAGGAAAGGAUAUGCAAAUUUUGGAAAAGGCAAAACUCUUUACUGAUAAAAGCCCGAAGGCUGAGUACAAAAUCGAGGAUCUGUACAAUGAGUUCGGAGGCCGACCUCGUUUACAAGAAAGAAACAAAAAAAGGAGAGGAUAAAUAAAAUCCUAAGGGGCGGGCGCAGCUCCGAGGUCAUCCGCAGCAGUCACCUCGGCGCUAUCUGUCGGAGCUCUCCCAGGUUCACCCGCAACAGAGGCCCCGGCCUGGGUCUUACCAGCAGCUUCGAGGGCGACAUCAGAAGCUCCAUUGGGAUCUCCCUCGGCAGGAGCCUCCCAAGUGGCCUCCUUGGCCGCCUGAACUUCGGCCCCAGCCGAGUCUUCAGGCGCAUCCUCCUCCUCGACCCCCGCCCCAGGUUGGAGCAGAUUGAGAUCGAACUCGGGGCAGAGCCGCCUCAGUUGGUUGCGGAAGUCUUCAAAGCCGCGGAUGAGCCCAUCCACGGCCUCUUCCUCCAACAGAUCGCGGAACUCUUCCGAUUCCCGGAAGAGUUGCACCGCGUGCUGAGCCUCCUCCUGGGCCCUCUUCUCGCGAGCCUCGAGCUCCUUGACCUUGAGCUGAACGUCCUUCACCUCCUGCUCACGGACAGUGAGCGCCGAGUGAGCCUCGGCCAAGCGAGCCUCGGCAGACCGCACCUCCGAUCUGGCCAGAGCGUGCGCGGCCUUCUCCUCCUCGAGCUCCACAGUUAGCGCCCAAAGCUCAUCCUCACCGGCCUCCGCUCUCGCCAGAAGCUCCCUCCGUGAGACUUCAGCCUCGCUGAGCUUCCUCUCGGCCUCNNNNNNNNNNNNNNNNNNNNACAGUUAGCGCCCAAAGCUCAUCCUCACCGGCCUCCGCUCUCGCCAGAAGCUCCCUCCGUGAGACUUCAGCCUCGCUGAGCUUCCUCUCGGCCUCCUCUUGCCCCCGCAGACACCUUCAAGCCCAGUCCCGAUAGUCUGCUGCUAUGGAGAUCAAUGUAUCGAUCUUAUGAAGAUGCUGUAGACAGGGCAGAGAAAGUGAGCUAGGAUCAAAAACAGAGCAAAAAAAAAGGGGAGAGAAAAGGCUAGGCGAACUUACCUGGUUGGCGGAACGACGAGUCCCAUCCAGGAAAUUACUAAAGCUCAUAGCCCGGAUCUCGGCCUGGUCGGCCGAGAGCAGCGCGAUGCGGAAAAUCUGCCACGCCGUUUCAGCAUUAUUGAGGGCCGAAUCACCCUCGAAGACUGCCCAAUCAGGGCAGUAAGGCCUCCUCUCUUGGCGGCCUUCGCCCUCCGAGGGACUCGGGAGGCUGGGGGGACGACCCUGCAACCCCUUGGCUGCUUUCCGACUCGGGCCCGGAGUGCUGAGGUCGAACGGGUGGCCGACCCGGACGUUGCGAAAUGGGAGCCGGGCACGCGAGCGCCGCAGAAGCCCCCGCAGAGCUCGAGCCCCCAUGGUCAGAGCUCCGGACCUCCUUCCGAGCGGGCCUGGAAUACCCGGCCUCGGCCAUGCUCGCCUCGGCACCCACGCCAAAUGAAGAUCUGGCUUUCUUCCUCGGCUCGGGCGGGGCCCCACCAAUCUCGGCUGCCCUCUUUCGGAAUCGAGCGUAGAGGGCUGCGUUCUUGAACACCAUCUUUAGAGAAGAGACAAAGGAAAAGUAAAACGAAUAAAAAAAAGGAGAGAAAAGAGAAGAAAAAAACCACCACUACCCUUACCCUGAGGGCGCGCCGAGCUCAGGCCAACAUUGACCAGAGCAUCCUCGCUCACGAGGUCAUUCAGCAGAAUAUUCUCCCCGAGGUCGCAAAGAGCGUCGAGGAUCUCCUGCUCGCCCUUGGACAAUUUAGGGAGCUUGUUGGCGGUUUUGAGCCGGGCUUGCUCCCACCGAGGGUCGAACCCCCACGCCCGCUCGGAAGACAAAAAGAAAAACUUCUCCUUCCAUCCAUGAAUGGAUGUCGGAGCACCCCGGAAGAGUGGCCGACCACCCCGAAGGGCAAGGUAGAACCACUCUCCAUCUCCCGGGUUGGACUUCAGCAAGAAGUACCACCAGAAGACGUUUACGGAAGUCGGUAUCCCGUGCGCCAGGCACAAGGAUAAAAAGCCGACAAUCAUCCUCCACGCGCUCGGAGCGAGCUGUGCCGGGACGACUUGAUACGCCGCCAGGAGCUCAUUCGCGAACCCGUGGAGGGGGAACCGCAGGCCGGCCCAGAGUGUUUCUAAAUACACUCCGAUCCGAUCCGGAGGAGGUCUCGUUAUCCGAUCCCCCGACCCCGCGAGUUCCAGACGGAACCCACGCUGAGGAAAGAACCAUUCCUCAGCCAUCUCCACCUCCUCACCACUCAUGGUGGACCCAACUUCGUCUGGACUAUGACCCAUCCCAAAAGAAAACAGGANNNNNNNNNNNNNNNNNNNNNNNNNNNNNNNNNNNNNNNNNNNNNNNNNNNNNNNNNNNNNNNNNNNNNNNNNNNNNNNNNNNNNNNNNNNNNNNNNNNNNNNNNNNNNNNNNNNNNNNNNNNNNNNNNNNNNNNNNNNNNNNNNNNNNNNNNNNNNNNNNNNNNNNNNNNNNNNNNNNNNNNNNNNNNNNNNNNNNNNNNNNNNNNNNNNNNNNNNNNNNNNNNNNNNNNNNNNNNNNNNNNNNNNNNNNNNNNNNNNNNNNNNNNNNNNNNNNNNNNNNNNNNNNNNNNNNNNNNNNNNNNNNNNNNNNNNNNNNNNNNNNNNNNNNNNNNNNNNNNNNNNNNNNNNNNNNNNNNNNNNNNNNNNNNNNNNNNNNNNNNNNNNNNNNNNNNNNNNNNNNNNNNNNNNNUUUGAAAAGCGAAAGGGUGUCGCCCCAUCAUCUCCCAUUAAGAGCGCCUUAAAGCGCGCGGAACGCCGAAACAAUUCAAGAUUCCCUAGCUUACAACACGGCAAAAAUGGCUACUUCCCACGCCUGAGCUCGCAAGCUGCUCGAACUCGGAAGUCGGAAGGUAGUGUUGGGGAAAAAAUGAGUUGCUUCGGAACAUAUGACCGCGUGGCCAGCACGUGCAUGAAGGCGCCCGACCCGACUUCCGACCUGAGGGCGCCCGGCCCAGCAUCCGAUCUGAAGGCGCCCGGCCUGGCACCCGACUUGAAGGCGCCCGGCCCGGCGCCGACUUGAAGGCACCCAACCUGUCUACUGCGGUCACAUCCACCUACAGUACAACCAGGAACCAUGCCCUGCCACCGCCAUCAACAAUUAAUGCGUAUGGCUCGUGUAGACCUCCGGCUUACUCAACAAUUAAUGCGCAUGGCUCCUGCAGAUCUCCGGCUUACUCAACAAUUAAUACGCAUGGCUCCUGCAGACCUCCGGCUUACUCAACAAUUAAUGCGCAUGGCUCCUGUUAUCUACGGAUCUCAAGUCCUCCACGGCAAAUCAGCUCGGCUGCGUCCGAUCAGCUGUGACAACUCCCUAACUCUGGCCUGGUCUCCUACGGCAAGGCAUUAACUCACGCAAUCAUGCACUAAUUCAUACGACAUGCCUAAUCAUACAGCAACUUCGCCUCGUCGCAUCACAGGUAACCCCGUACCCCUCUAUAAAAAGAAAACCCCUCCAUUUUAGAGAGGGGGGACGGAAAAACAAAGAACUGGAAACAUUGAUUUUCCUGCAUUUUCUCUCUCUCUCUAUAUAUUUGCCCCCUCUGACUUAGGCAUCGGAGGGCCGGCGCCGGAAACCCCGGCCAUCGACUUUUUGCAGGCUCCACGGAGGACGCCGCCCGCCGACAGACCACUACCUGCCGACCUUCGCCGAAGCUUCUUCUUCUCAGCCGACGGCCGUCCCCAGGUCCAAAUUCCAGCAACAAGACCCCUUCUAAAGGGGAUCCUGCAUCCACUUAGAAUCUCUUCUUCGCGAACUGAAAGAGGCCCUAGCUGAGUCAAUGUCAUCUCCUACAGAGACAUGGAGACACUCAGUGCCCUUGGCCACAAUAUCCUUCUUGAACAACCGCCCCUUGGCUACAAUAUCCUUCAAAGGCUUACUUAUAUCUCCAAAAGAAUGCAGGCCCUAGCGUAUCCUCCCAGGGCAAUCAAUUCAGUACCAUCAUCUAAAAAUUGUAUCCCGAAGAUCAAAGGGAGUUCUAAAAAUCUCGCCCAGAUAAGGCAUUAUGUCUCAAGUCCAUCC
rnacentral:lncRNA from 1 species